AGUGUUGGACCUCCCCUGACUAAUAAAUACAUCCAUCCAAAUGCAAUGUGCAAUACCUUGCUUACUUGCACACACAAGGUAGGAGACAUCUAAAGCUAGCCGGAGAGGAGAGGAGCCCAGCCUGCCGGAGGCGAGAUGUAUAACAACCCUCCGCCGCCAGAGGGCAUGUCCUACUAUGAGCACGCGCAGAAGCGCCACCAGGAGAAGGGCUGCCUCUACGCAUGCGCGUUCACGGCGCUGUGCUGCUUCUGCUGCUACGAGACGUGCGAGUGCUGCCUCGACUGCCUCUGCUGCUGCUGCAACUAAACCAGCCAUGGUCACCAUGGACGGGCGGACGGACGGACAAAGGUGCAGCGCGAGAUCGACCGGCCUCCACUACUGUUAAUUAUCCCCCAAAAAAAUUUACAAUUUCGUAAUAAGCUAGCUAGCAGCUUAGCUCGAUGAGAACUCUAUCAGGUACCGCAUAAUAUUAUCUUUACCAGACAAGACUAUCACUAUAAUCACCAUCCAUCAUGGUUUGUGUUGCAUCUUUUUUUAAUUAGCAUCAGAUUCUGGUCCUCACCUGCCCACUGCGCUUUUCCUUUGACACUUUGCUUUGUCUCCCUGUAAUUAUCUGAAGACUGAAAUGAACAUUUCAUUAUUAUUUUCUC